rnacentral:lncRNA from 8 species
CAGCCGAAGAACCCUUUUGGAACCCUUUUUUCUAAGAGUGUAGAGGUAGCACUGGAAUUUAGAAGUGACGUAGUAGUAGUAGUCGUAUUAGCAUUUAUAUUAUUAUUAGUAGUAGCAGUAGUAGUAACAGUAGUAGUAGUCGUAGUCAUAGUAGCAGUAGUAGUAGUAGUAGUCGUCAUAGUAGCAUUUAUAUUAUUAUUAGUAGUAGCAGUAGCAGUAGUAUUAGCAGUAUCAGUAGUAGUAGUAGUAGUAGUAGCUGUAUUAGCAGUAGCAGUAGUCGUAGUCAUAGUAGUAGUAGUAGUAGUAAUAGCAGUAGUAGUAGUAGAUGUUGUAGUAGUAGUACUAGUAGAUGUAGUAGUAGUAGUACUAUAUGUCGUAGUAGUAAUACUAGUAGAUGUAGUAGUAGUGUUAGUAGUAGUAGCAGUAGUAGUAGUAGUAGUAGUAGUAGUAGUUGUAGCAGUAGUAUUAGCAGUAGCAGUAGUAGUACUACUAGUAGAUGUAGUAGUAGUCAUAGUAGUAGUAGUAGUAGAUGUAGUCAUAGUAGUAGUAGUAGUAGUCGUCGUAGUAGCAUUUAUAUUAUUAUUAGUAGUAGCGGUAGCAGUAGUAUUAGUAGUCGUAGUCGUAGUAGCAGAAGCAGUAGUAGUAGUAAUUGCAGUAGUAGUAGUAGAUAUUGUAGUAGUAGUACUAGUAGAUAUAGUAGUAGUGGUAGUGUUAGUAGUAGUGGUAGUGUUAGUAAUAGUAGUAGUAGUGUUAGUGGUGGUAGUAGUGUUUAGUAGUAGUAGUAGUAGUGUUAGUAGUAGUAGUGUUAGUAGUAGUGUUUGUAGUAUUAGUAUUGUUAGUAGUAGUAUUAGUAGUAGUAGCGUUUGUAGUAGUAGUAGUAGUGUUAGUAGUAGUGUUAGUAGAAGUAGUAGUGUUAGUAGUAGUAUUAGUAGAACUAGUAGAUGUAGGAGUAGUAGUAGUGUUAGUAGUAGUAGUGGUAAUAGUAGAUGUAGUAGUUGUGGUAGUGGUAGUGUUAGUAAUAGUACUAGAAGUGUUAGUGGUGGUAGUAGUGUUUGUAGUAGUAGUAGUAGUAUUGUUAGUAGUAGUGUUAGUAGUAGUAUUAGUAGAACUAGUAGAUGUAGGAGUAAUAGUAGUGUUAGUAUUAAUACUAGUAGCAUUAAUAUGGUAGUUGGUGAGCCUACAUUUUCCUGGGAACAGACGGUUUUCAUUAUAACUUUGCAGAUAAGCUCUGACUUUGAAGAUAAGCUUUUUUACUGA